rnacentral:lncRNA from 1 species
UCCUUCCCUUCUGACAAACCCCAUUUCUAGCAGGUCUGUGUUUGCAGUUGGGGCAAUUUCACUGGCUCAUGCUCAUUGGCAAAGCACGAGGUUUAUGACCCUACCAAUGCCUUGGUGGCUUUUCUUCUCUUCUUAGAUACGUCUUAGAGGAUACCUCAGCUGUAAUGGGGUGAGCCAAGGUCUGGAAUGAGGGGCAAGCUGAAAGAGCUCAAUCUGUUUGACUUGCUGAAAAGCAAGCUUGGAGGCAACGUGAUCAUGGGAUGGCAAAAUUCAUGGGUGUCAGUCACUGGUAUGAUGGAAGACGGAUCCUGUCAGAAACAUGUCCAUCUGGUCUGGUUGGCCAAGACAUUUACAGGGUAAUUUUUAAUUCAUUACUGUGUGACAUUUACAUCUUUUGUAACUAAAAAGAGUUCUAAAGGAUCAGAUCUAAAACCUGUUGAAGUGUACCGAAGUCUCUAAUUGACUGCAGUAGGCUCUGAACCAAGCCUUGAAGUGACUGUUAAUUUGGAACCCUCUAAAGGGGUGAUGUAAGUGGUGGUGAAAUACAGGUUGGAGGAAGAUGAUGG